rnacentral:rRNA from 1 species
CAUGCAGUCGAGCGGAUGACGGGAGCUUGCUCCUUGAUUCAGCGGCGGACGGGUGAGUAAUGCCUAGGAAUCUGCCUGGUAGUGGGGGACAACGUUUCGAAAGGAACGCUAAUACCGCAUACGUCCUACGGGAGAAAGCAGGGGACCUUCGGGCCUUGCGCUAUCAGAUGAGCCUAGGUCGGAUUAGCUAGUUGGUGGGGUAAUGGCUCACCAAGGCGACGAUCCGUAACUGGUCUGAGAGGAUGAUCAGUCACACUGGAACUGAGACACGGUCCAGACUCCUACGGGAGGCAGCAGUGGGGAAUAUUGGACAAUGGGCGAAAGCCUGAUCCAGCCAUGCCGCGUGUGUGAAGAAGGUCUUCGGAUUGUAAAGCACUUUAAGUUGGGAGGAAGGGCAGUAAGUUAAUACCUUGCUGUUUUGACGUUACCGACAGAAUAAGCACCGGCUAACUCUGUGCCAGCAGCCGCGGUAAUACAGAGGGUGCAAGCGUUAAUCGGAAUUACUGGGCGUAAAGCGCGCGUAGGUGGUUUGUUAAGUUGGAUGUGAAAGCCCCGGGCUCAACCUGGGAACUGCAUCCAAAACUGGCAAGCUAGAGUACGGUAGAGGGUGGUG